rnacentral:rRNA from 1 species
UACGGAGGGUGCAAACGUUGCUCGGAAUCAUUGGGCGUAAAGCGCGCGUAGGCGGCCCGGUAAGUCCGCUGUAAAAGUCAAAGGCUCAACCUUUGAAUGUCAGUGGAUACUGCCGGGCUAGAGUCCGGAAGAGGCGAGUGGAACUCCUGGUGUAGCGGUGGAAUGCGCAGAUAUCAGGAAGAACACCGACGGCGAAGGCAGCUCGCUGGGACGGUACUGACGCUGAGGCGCGAAAGCGUGGGGAGCGAACAGG